AUUGAACGCUGGCGGCAUGCCUUACACAUGCAGGUCGAACGGCAGCACGGGAGCAAUCCUGGUGGCGAGUGGCGAACGGGUGAGUAAAGUAUCGGAACGUGCCCAGUCGUGGGGGAUAACGUUGCGAAAGUUACGCUAAUACCGCAUACGAUCUAUGGAUGAAAGCGGGGGAUCGCAAGACCUCGCGCGAUUGGAGCGGCCGAUAUCAGAUUAGGUAGUUGGUGGGGUAAAGGCUCACCAAGCCGACGAUCUGUAGCUGGUCUGAGAGGACGACCAGCCACACUGGGGCUGAGACACGGGCCAGACUCCUACGGGAGGCAGCAGUGGGGAAUUUUGGACAAUGGGCGAAAGCCUGAUCCAGCCAUGCCGCGUGCAGGAUGAAGGCCUUCGGGUUGUAAACUGCUUUUGUACGGAACGAAAAGGUUUGGCCUAAUAAGCUGAGCUCAUGACGGUACCGUAAGAAUAAGCACCGGCUAACUACGUGCCAGCCGCCGCGGUAA
rnacentral:rRNA from 1 species